rnacentral:rRNA from 1 species
AUGAACGCUGGCGGCGUGCCUAAUACAUGCAAGUCGAGCGCACAGACGAGGGGCUUGCUCCUCUGACGUUAGCGGCGGACGGGUGAGUAACACGUGGAUAACCUACCUAUAAGACUGGGAUAACUUCGGGAAACCGGAGCUAAUACCGGAUAAUAUAUUGAACCGCAUGGUUCAAUAGUGAAAGACGGUUUUGCUGUCACUUAUAGAUGGAUCCGCGCCGCAUUAGCUAGUUGGUAAGGUAACGGCUUACCAAGGCAACGAUGCGUAGCCGACCUGAGAGGGUGAUCGGCCACACUGGAACUGAGACACGGUCCAGACUCCUACGGGAGGCAGCAGUAGGGAAUCUUCCGCAAUGGGCGAAAGCCUGACGGAGCAACGCCGCGUGAGUGAUGAAGGUCUUCGGAUCGUAAAACUCUGUUAUUAGGGAAGAACAAAUGUGUAAGUAACUAUGCACGUCUUGACGGUACCUAAUCAGAAAGCCACGGCUAACUACGUG